UACGUAGGGGGCAAGCGUUGUCCGGAUUUACUGGGCGUAAAGCGUGCGCAGGCGGUUCGUUAAGUUCGUUGUGAAAGCCCCGGGCUCAACCUGGGAACUGCAAUGGAAACUGGCGGGCUUGAAUGCGGCAGAGGGGGGUGGAAUUCCGCGUGUAGCAGUGAAAUGCGUAGAGAUGCGGAGGAACACCGAUGGCGAAGGCAGCCCCCUGGGUCAAGACUGACGCUCAUGCACGAAAGCGUGGGGAGCAAACAGG
rnacentral:rRNA from 1 species